AGAGUUAAAUAGUACGUGAAAUUGUUGAAAGGGAAACGAUUGAAGUCAGUCAUGCUUGCAGGGAAUCAACAUGGUGGUUUAUUCUUCCUUGUGCACUUCCUUGCUUAGCAGGUUAGCAUCAACUUUGAUUGUCAUUAAAGAACCGGGGAAAUGUGGCUUCUUCGGGAGUGUUAUAGACCUUGGUAGAUGUAGCGAUCGGGAUUGAGGAUUGCAGCGAAUGCUUCUUGGCUAGUCACCUGGCUUCUGAUGGUCACCUCGCUUUCGAUAGCUUGCUAACGUUAGUGAGAUUUGAUUGUCUAGAUGUUAGAGUGAUCAUAAAUUCGCUAAGGAUGCUGACGUAAUGGCUUUUAACGA
rnacentral:misc_RNA from 1 species